UACGUAGGUGGCGAGCGUUGUCCGGAUUUAUUGGGUUUAAAGGGUGCGUAGGCGGCUUUGUAAGUCAGUGGUGAAAUACUCCAGCUUAACUGGAGGGGUGCCAUUGAUACUGCGGAGCUUGAGUACAGAUGAGGUAGGCGGAAUUGACGGUGUAGCGGUGAAAUGCAUAGAUAUCGUCAAGAACACCGAUAGCGAAAGGCAGCUUACUGGGCUGUAACUGACGCUGAUGCACGAAAGUGUGGGGGAUCAAACAGG
rnacentral:rRNA from 1 species